AAUCAACGCUGGCGGCGUGCCUCAGACAUGCAAGUCGAACGAGAAAGUCCCCCUUCGGGGGGUGAGUAAAGUGGCGCACGGGUGAGUAACACGUAGGUAAUCUACCUUCGGGUGGGGAAUAACCCAGGGAAACUUGGGCUAACACCGCAUAAUGCAGCGGCACCACAUGGUGACAGUUGUUAAAGCGGGGGAUUUUAGGACCUCGCGCCUGAAGAGGAGCCUGCGGCGGAUUAGCUAGUUGGUAGGGGUAACGGCUUACCAAGGCGACGAUCCGUAACCGGCCUGAGAGGGCGGUCGGUCACACUGACACUGACAUACGGGUCAGACUCCUACGGGAGGCAGCAGUCGGGAAUUUUGGGCAAUGGGCGAAAGCCUGACCCAGCAACGCCGCGUGAAGGAUGAA
rnacentral:rRNA from 1 species